UACGUAGGUGACAAGCGUUGUCCGGAUUUACUGGGCGUAAAGAGCGCGCAGGCGGUCGUUCAAGUCGAGUGUGAAAGCCCCCGGCUCAACUGGGGAGGGUCAUUCGAUACUGAUCGACUCGAAGGCAGGAGAGGGUAGUGGAAUUCCCGGUGUAGUGGUGAAAUGCGUAGAUAUCGGGAGGAACACCAGUGGCGAAGGCGACUACCUGGCCUGUUCUUGACGCUGAGGAGCGAAAGCGUGGGGAGCGAACAGG
rnacentral:rRNA from 1 species